CACGUCCUGCAGCACUAUCACAAUAAAGUAGAUCCGAUUGCCUUUGUGAAUUUGCAACAGAAUGUGGAGCAAAGAAUCCAAAGGCACUUUCAUCGACAAAACUUCACAAAAACAUAGAAACACUGUUCAAGUUCUGAACCUCAAUUAUACAGAAUUGGAUCAGCUGGCUGACUUUUUAGGGUAUGAUGUUAGGGUACAUAGACAAUAUUACCGACUUCCUGAGGGCACUCUCCAGCUGGCUAAGAUGAGCGAGAUUUUGAUGGCAUUAGAGACUGAAAGACUUGGGGAGUUCAGUGGAAAAAACCUGGAUGAAAUUGACAUUGACUCAAAUGAAGCAGUACUUGUUCAGAUUUGUCAAAGGAUUUGUCCGGAACAGAGAGUGAAUCUGAUGGUGUUAAGAAAAAAAGGAGGUUAAGAAAAAAAAACAAGGGAGACCAGUGAAGUAAACGAAGUUGAAAAGCAUCUGUCCAGGUUCAUCAAAACUUGCACAGUACCAGGAAAAAGCCAUUGUGAGGCUUGCAUACAAGCUGAACCUGUUGCAUUGAAAGACUGGGAUUGGUUGUCUAAGUUCUUUAUAAACAACUGCUCUCAAAAGGAAGAUGUAAUUCAGAAAAUAUUUGCAUGGUUUUAUUUUGUUUUAUACACACACAUCGGUGGCAAUUUUUUUUUUAUAAAAUGACCAUUAAUUUAAUUUUAUUGUACCACUAUAAUGUACAUUUAACAUUUUUUAUGUGACUGAAACUUUUAAGUUUUAAUAAUUGCACUGAAACGGAAGUACUUAUGAUAUGUGGAAAAAUACUGCAUUGCUAAUGGCAACAACUGUUAAAAAUAAGAAAUAAAUAAGGACUGUUGUUGUU